rnacentral:tRNA from 2 species
CGCUGCGUGCUAAAAAACGCUGUUCACCAGUCUGGGGGACUGGGGGUCGGAGGUUCAAAUCCUCUCGCUCCGACCA